AGCCCAUGGUGAGGGCACCUUCUCAAGAGGUCCUUGUAUCUCUCACAUGCAUCAUAGAGUGUUUCUAGAUCCAUCUGCACAAAAGAAGAGAUAUCAUUCUUAAUUUGGUU
rnacentral:snoRNA from 1 species